UGUUGUCAUCAUAACAACUGCCUAUGUUCCAGUGAAUUGAGAGAAACGCCUUGGGGUAACCACAUCCAAAUGUCAUCAUUACCUGAGAGAUGACGCUAUCGGGCGGUAACAAAUCCGUUUAACCUUUAAAAUAGAGCACCGGUCCUUU
rfam:Pantoea ananatis LMG 20103, complete genome.